AUUGCUUCUUGGCCUUUUGGCUAAGAUCAAGUAGGUAUCUGUUCUUAUCAGUUUAAUAUCUGAUACAUCCUCUAUUCAAUUGGACCCCUAGCCUGGGAACCUCCACGUGCUGCGGGUGCAGCCCUAAAAAGACAAAAAAAAAUUAUAGUUGACACCUAAUUAUUAUUUAUUUAUUUAUUUGUUUGUUUGUUUUUUAGGGCCUCACCCAAGGCAUAUGGAAGUUCCCAGGCUAGUGGUUGAACUGGAGCUCCAGCUCCAGCCUACCCCAC
rnacentral:snRNA from 1 species